rnacentral:lncRNA from 1 species
UAGACCUUCCUCUUACUGGAGCGAAGGGAUUAGCCUAUUUUCACCCUAAAAAUUCUCUGAAUAUACAGAAAAAGAAAAAGAAAAGCUUCCUGCAAUUUUGUUAUUCUAAAAUUAGUUUUGGGCUAGAGUUCCUAUCUUAGUUCACUCGAGGGCUAUUUAUUUCUGAUUCUGGAAAUUCAUGUCAGCUGUUCUUUGUGUUCUUGGUUGAUUUUUGUUGUGCUGUUUUGUUCCUGCCGAUUGUCUCCUUCAUCGUUUCGAUUAGAGGUUUAUUUUGUCUCACUUUGAUUCUGGUUGUUAUAGGUAUGUAGUUCCUUUAUCUAAUAUCCUUCAUGAUUCAUAAAUGAGAUAUGGUAUUUGAUUAGAAAUAUGUUUGAUGUUUCUGGCUAUAGUUUUCUACACUUGUUUCAAGUUCACUUUGGUUGUCUUCAAUGAAUGGUGUUCCUCUAAAGUUCCAGACCAGCUGCUUUCUUGUAAAAAUUACUUUUGCCAUGCUUUGUAUGUGAAUCAUGCCUCAUGAGUUAUACUAAGUUGAUCAUUUCCUUGAUACUAACUACCUUGUUGUCAUGUGGUGCUAAAUGGACUUCCGUUGUCAUGAGACUUUUAUUUUUCUUUUCUGAUUGUAUGUGAGUUGUAACAAGAGAAGAAAAUCUCAAAGUUAUUUGGGAGUUGGAACCAAAUGCUUACUUGCAAAGAAAGCUUUGUAGCUGGUUUUUGCAGUCUGAAGCUUACUGAAGGAUUUGCAACAAAUGAAAAGCCCAAAACCAUGUUGAACAUCAUUUGAAACAGUUUUCUAAGAUGUGUUGUAAUUUAGAUCUAUGGACCAUUCUGAUUUUUGUAUAAAGUUAGUAUGGAGUAGAUUGUAAAAAUUUUAAAGUUGAUUGCUGUGGUUGAUAGUUGAGGUUUAAAGUAUCAUAGUAAAGUUUAUGUUAAAUAGCCCUAUUAGUUCAUAUGGUCCUUAUUAGAGGAUGUCAGACGUGUACUGUGUAUGUCUAAAAUGGGACAUAUUUGAUUAUUGAGUAUGCUUAGCUAAAUUAUUUUGCAUUUCAACAUAUUUAAAGUUAUUUUAUAUGUAAGGUUAAG